GACGAACGCUGGCGGCGUGCUUAACACAUGCAAGUCGAACGGAAAGGCCCUGCUUUUGUGGGGUGCUCGAGUGGCGAACGGGGGAGUAACACGUGAGUAACCUGCCCUUGACUUUGGGAUAACUUCAGGAAACUGGGGCUAAUACCGGAUAUGAGCUCCUGCUGCAUGGUGGGGGUUGGAAAGUUUCGGCGGUUGGGGAUGGACUCGCGGCUUAUCAGCUUGUUGGUGGGGUAGUGGCUUACCAAGGCUUUGACGGGUAGCCGGCCUGAGAGGGUGACCGGCCACAUUGGGACUGAGAUACGGCCCAGACUCCUACGGGAGGCAGCAGUGGGGAAUAUUGCACAAUGGGCGGAAGCCUGAUGCAGCAACGCCGCGUGCGGGAUGACGGCCUUCGGGUUGUAAACCGCUUUCGCAUGUGACGAAGAGUGAGUGACGGUAAUGGGUAAAGAAGCAACGGCUAACUACGUG
rnacentral:rRNA from 1 species